rnacentral:rRNA from 1 species
GUUAGAGAUGAGCAUGCGUGUCAUUAGCUAGUUGGUAAGGUAACGGCUUACCAAGGCGACGAUGACUAGGGGGUCUGAGAGGAUGGUCCCCCAACACUGGUACUGAGACACGGACCAGACUCCUACGGGAGGCAGCAGUGAGGAAUAUAGGGCAAUGGGCGCAAGCCUGACCCAGACAUGCCGCGAUGCAGGAUGACUGCCCUAUGGGUUGUACACUGCUAUAAUACGGGAAGAAUGGUUCCUACGGUGUAGGGAUUGAGCGGUACGGUAAGAAUAAGCAUCGGCUAACUCCAUGCCAGCAGCCGCGGUAAUACGGAGGAUGCAAGCGUUAUCCGGAUUUCAUUGGGUUUAAAGGGUGCGCAGGCGGAAUAUUAAGUCAGUGGUGAAAUCCUGCAGCUUAACUGUAGAACUGCCAUUGAUACUGAUAUUCUUGAAUAUAGUUGAGGUGGCCGGAAUGUGUAAUGUAGCGGUGAAAUGCUUAGAUAUUACACAGAACACCGAUUGCGAAGGCAGCUCACUAAACUAAUAUUGACGCUGAGGCACGAAAGCGUGGGGAGCGAACAGGAUUAGAUACCCUGGUAGUCCACGCUGUAAACGAUGAUCACUCGCUGUUGGCAAUACAUCGUCAGCGGCUGAGCGAAAGCAUUAAGUGAUCCACCUGGGGAAUACGAUCGCAAGAUUGAAACUCAAAGGAAUUGACGGGGGCCCGCACAAGCGGAGGAACAUGUGGUUUAAUUCGAUGAUACGCGAGGAACCUUACCUGGGCUUAAAUGCAGAACGACGUUUCGGGAAACCGGAAUUUCUUCGGACGGACUGCAAGGUGCUGCAUGGCUGUCGUCAGCUCGUGUCGUGAGAUGUUGGGUUAAGUCCCGCAACGAGCGCAACCCACGUUCUUAGUUGCCAGCAUUCAGUUGGGCACUCUAGGGAGACUGCCGGUGACAAACCGGAGGAAGGUGUGGAUGACGUCAAGUCAGCA